rnacentral:rRNA from 1 species
UACGAAGGGGGCUAGCGUUGCUCGGAAUUACUGGGCGUAAAGGGCGCGUAGGCGGCACUGUUAGUCAGGCGUGAAAUUCCUGGGCUCAACCUGGGGACUGCGCUUGAUACGGGCAGACUAGAGGUAGGUAGGGGAGAAUGGAAUUCCCGGUGUAGCGGUGAAAUGCGUAGAUAUCGAGAGGAACACCAGUGGCGAAGGCGAGUCCCUGGACAACUUCUGACGCUGAGGCACGAAAGCUAGGGGAGCAAACAGG